rnacentral:rRNA from 1 species
UACAGAGGGGGCGAGCGUUAUUCGGAAUUAUUGGGCGUAAAGGGCGCGUAGGCGGCCUUUCAAGUGACGGGUGAAAUCCCUCGGCUUAACCGAGGAACUGCCUGUCAGACUGGAAGGCUUGAGACCGGGAGAGGUGAGUGGAAUUCCCAGUGUAGCGGUGAAAUGCGUAGAUAUUGGGAGGAACACCAGUGGCGAAGGCGGCUCACUGGACCGGAACUGACGCUGAGGCGCGAAAGCGUGGGGAGCAAACAGGG